GCUAGCCAUGGGAGUCGUACGCUCUCGGGAAGAGGGCGUGGCGGACGGCUGAGUAACACGUGGCUAACCUGCCCUUGGGAUCUGGAUAACCCCGGGAAACUGGGGCUAAUCCGGAGCGGGCAAGGGAAUCUGGAAUGAUCUCUUGCCUAAAAGCCUCUCGGCUGAUCCCGUCGAGAGGCGCCCAAGGAUGGGGCUGCGGCCCAUCAGGCUGUUGGGGGAGUAAAGGUCCCCCAAACCGAUAACGGGUAGGGGCCGUGGGAGCGGGAGCCCCCAGUUGGGCACUGAGACAAGGGCCCAGGCCCUACGGGGCGCACCAGGCGCGGAACGUCCCCAAUGCGGGAAACCGUGAGGGCGUUACCCCUAGUGCCCUCGCAAGAGGGCUUUUCUCCACUCCAGAAAGGUGGAGGAAUAAGCGGGGGGCAAGACUGGUGUCAGCCGCCGCGGUAAUACCAGCCCCGCGAGUGAUCGGGACGUUUAUUGGGCUUAAAGCGCCCGUAGCCGGCCUGUAAAGUCACCGUUUAAAGACCCGGGCUCAACUCGGGGAACGGCGGUGAUACUUACAGGCUAGGGGGCGGGAGAGGUCGGAGGUACUCCCGGAGUAGGGGCGAAAUCCUCAGAUCCCGGGAGGACCACCAGUGGCGAAAGCGUCCGGCUAGAACGCGCCCGACGGUGAGGGGCGAAAGCCGGGGUAGCAAAUAGGAUUAGAUACCCUAGUAGUCCCGGCUGUAAACGAUGCAGGCUAGGUGUCGCGUAGGCUUUGUGCCUGCGCGGUGCCGCAGGAAAAC
rnacentral:rRNA from 1 species